rnacentral:rRNA from 1 species
UACGUAGGGUGCAAGCGUUGUCCGGAAUUAUUGGGCGUAAAGAGCUCGUAGGCGGUUUGUUGCGUCGGCUGUGAAAUCCCGAGGCUCAACCUCGGGUCUGCAGUCGAUACGAGCAAACUAGAGUGUUGCAGGGGAGACUGGAAUUCCUGGUGUAGCGGUGAAAUGCGCAGAUAUCAGGAGGAACACCGGUGGCGAAGGCGGGUCUCUGGGCCAUUACUGACGCUGAGGCACGAAAGCGUGGGGAGCAAACAGG